rnacentral:rRNA from 1 species
CCUACGGGAGGCUGCAGUGGGGAAUAUUGCACAAUGGGGGAAACCCUGAUGCAGCGACGCCGCGUGAGUGAAGAAGUAACUCGUUAUGUUAAGCUCUAUCAGCAGGGAAGAAAAUGACCGUACCUGAGUAAGAAGCCCCGGCCAACUACGUGCCAGCAGCCGCCGUAAUACGUAGGGGGCAAGCGUUAUCCGGAUUUACUGGGUGUAAAGGGAGCGUAGACGGCGGUGCAAGUCUGGAGUGAAAGGCGAGGGCUCAACCCGCGGACUGCUCUGGAAACUGUACGGCUUGAGUGCAGUAGAGGUAGGUGGAAUUCGUAGUGUAGCGGUGAAAUGCGUAGAUAUUAGGAGGAACACCAGUGGCGAAGGCGGCUUGCUGGACUGUAACUGACGUUGAGGCUCGAAAGCGUGGGGAGCAAACAGGAUUAGAUACCCGAGUAGUC